rnacentral:rRNA from 1 species
GAUGAACGCUGGCGGCGUGCCUAAUACAUGCAAGUCGAGCGGUAAGGCCUCUUCGGAGGUACACGAGCGGCGGACGGCUGAGUAACACGUAGGAACGUACCCCAAAGUGAGGGAUAAGCACCAGAAAUGGUGUCUAAUACCGCAUGUGCUCUAAGGAGUAAAGCUCCGGCGCUUUGGGAACGGCCUGCGUCCGAUUAGCUUGAUGGUGAGGUAAUGGCUCACCAUGGCGACGAUCGGUAGCUGGUCUGAGAGGAUGAUCAGCCAGACUGGGACUGAGAACGGCCCAGACUCCUACGGGAGGCAGCAGUAGGGAAUUUUCCACAAUGGGCGAAAGCCUGAUGGAGCAACGCCGCGUGCAGGAUGAAUGUCUUCGGAUUGUAAACUGCUUUUAUCUGUGACGAAUAUGACGGUAGCAGAUGAAUAAGGAUCGGCUAACUCCGUGCCAGCAGCCGCAGUAAGAC